GGACACACAGUUUUGUACACAUGAGCACUGAAGUCUGAGGAUCUUUGCAUGUGUUGCUGCUGCAGUGACCCUGAUGCUGCAUCUCUACGGAGGAUACGGACUUAAACGCUCAUUUUAAUCUCGGAGGAGAAACUGCCAAGGUGUUCUUGUCAUGGGUGCCAGGACCCCUGGAACUGAGACAGUUGUGAGCUGCCACAUCGGGUUUUGGGUGUUGAACUCAGGACCUCUGGGAGAGCGGUUAGUGCUCUUAACCACUGAACCAUCUCUCCAUCCGGACCCACCUUUUAAAGAGAAUGCAGUGAACGUGCACAGCGGGUGCUCUUAGGGGCUGCAGCUGAGGAUGUAUCCCGUCAGGACCCCAGGGGCAGGCCAGUGCAGAUGCCUGAGUACUAACGCUCAUCUCUUUUGUUUAUUAUAAAAAGGUGAGGAGUUAGUAAGGAGUAGCAGGUGAGGCGGGGACAAGGAUGCCCUGUUCCCAAGACUGCUCCUUGCUGACCUGGGGCUUCAUAGUCUUUGGGGGACUUGAGAAUGCUGGGGUGCUGACCACACCCUGGGGUAUCUGGCUGUUUCACUUCUCUGUCCAGACCCUGUGGAACCAUCAGGCACCACUUGGAGCUGGCAAAUGCUGUUCGAGGUGGAUCCGAGUCGACUCUCUGGAGCUCACAAGAACUUAAAGCACCUGCUCCUUUUCCCAUCGCCGCAGCCGCGCCUGGACAGCCUCCUCCUAGCCGAUCUUCCAGGAAGCGCAGGUGGUUGACUACUGAGGACAAUCAAUAGUGAAACAACAAAUUCGUAGCAAACUAGUAAAGGCUGUCUCCUGAGAAGGCAAGGAAGAGUGACGGGGGAAUCACCAGGGCCAGAUGAAAACAGGAGGGGAGUAAAUGAAAAGAAAGGGAGGACAGUGUGUGCUGAGCAAGAGGAAGCUGACUUGUCCAUCUGACCCGCACGGUGCAGCAAACAGGACACUUAGAGAGGGAGAGCAGACAGACAAGCAGGUUUCGGAGCAAUGAAAAAAAAGAAAGCAGAGAAUUCUUUCUCUGUUCCCUGGCUGUCUGGUCCAAGAAAUACUGAAGCCAGAUUUGAUUUGAAAGGAGUUGUCAGUUGGUCUCAAAAAGACAUCCCGCUGGGAGAGAGGAGGUGCAGAACACAGCUCCCAAGGAUGAAGAAGAGGAAGACUGAGUGUGCACGAGUGAGCUAGAGAAAGAAGAUCCAAGGCCUGAAUACACUGGCAUCCCAGAUUCAGGGAGGAUCAGACCGAGUGGGCGCAAGCUGUUUCAGUAUGUCAUCACACAGGGACAGAGGUCAAGGGCUCUGAGCCUGAGAGAAACACAGUCACCUGGUACCAGGACUUUCGAGAAAAGCCAGAAGGCGAGGAGAGGACUGUGCUCGAGAAAGGAAGCCUCACAUCCAGGUCAGAGGGGGAUAACCCUGCCAGAGACUCAGCUGUUGAUACUGAAUGAAAAGUCAACAAGAAAGCAGAUCAGAAAGCAAUAGCUACAGAUAUUUGGGCCAAAUCUAACUGCGAAGAUGAGUUUAGAAGCUCUUAAAUCCGGCUCUGACAGUAAAAGCUGGAGAUAUAGAUGAUGUCAAAGUUCCCAUGAGUGAGACAGGGCUUUGGGAAUAGCAGGGAGCACCAUGUGGACUGAGUGACACCCCAGCCUGAUGCUAGGAUUUGGAAGCUAACAUUGAGAGCUGGAAGAGAUGGAGAUGCGUUGUAGGGAGAGAUGCGCUGACCCGUUUCAGGUGACGAUGCUUUCCUUUCUGAGGGGUAACUCGGAGCCUCAGGUAUGAUGCUUUUACAUUUUAUUACUUUGCGUGUGCAUAUCUGCAUGCAUUGGUUUGUUUGCACAUGUGUGUGGAUGCAUGUGAAGACCAGACAUUGAUAUUAGGGGUCUUCUUUAAUCAUUCCCUACCUAUUUUGUUAGGGAGGGUUUCACAAUGUAGACUAGGCUGGCCUCGAACUCACAGAGAUUUGCCUGUCUCUGCCUCCCGAGUGCUGAGUUUAAAAUGUGCCAUCCUGUCCAGCCCCCCCUUUUUUUU